GGCUCACAGCAUCUGAUAGUGGAUUGAUGGAUACAAGUCUUUAGGUUUUGCAAAUCAAAUCAAAAUGUGUAGACCUUACAGUGAAAUGCUUUACUUACAAACCUUUAACCAACAAUGCAGUUUUCAGAAAAUACACACAAAAAAAGUAAGCGAUAAGAAUAACAACUAAUUAAAGAGCAGCAGUAAAUAACAGUAGUGAGGCUAUAUACAGGGGGCACCGGUACAGAGUCAAUGUGGAGACUAUAUACAGGGGGUACCGGUACAGAGUCAAUGUGGAGGCUAUAUACAGGGGGUACCGGUACAGAGUCAAUGUGGAGGCUAUAUACAGGGGGUAUUGGUACAGAGUCAAUGUGGAGACUAUAUACAGGGGGUACCGGUACAGAGUCAAUGUGGAGGCUAUAUACAGGGGGGUACUGGUACAGAGUCAAUGUGGAGACUAUAUACAGGGGGUACCGGUACAGAGUCAAUGUGGAGACUAUAUACAGGGGGUACCGGUACAGAGUCAAUGUGGAGGCUAUAUACAGGGGGUACCGGUACAGAGUCAAUGUGGAGGCUAUAUACAGGGUGUUACGGUACAGAGUCAAUGUGGAGGCUAUAUACAGGGGGUACCGGUACAGAGUCAAUGUGGAGGCUAUAUACAGGGGGUACCGGUACAGAGUCAAUGUGGAGGCUAUAUACAGGGGGUACUGGUACAGAGUCAAUGUG
ensembl:lncRNA